GCGACAACUCUGAACAACUUACCUUCGAACCUCCGCGCACAGACAGGCCAGGCCCCAGGGUGGUCCCGCUCUCUCUCCUCCUGUGUCUCCACCUUCGGUGGCUCCCGGCCUCCCUCCUCCCUGCCCGGGCCCAGGUUAGGGGAAAACAGCAUUCUCUGUAGAGUGUUGGUACCAGGACACUUUGAAAAGGCUGUCUGUGUUUGGAGGUGAGGACAGCAAAGAGAGGAAGAGCGUCAUGGGAGAAACAAGAGAAUGCUUCCACUUCUCUUCGGUGCCCAUAAACGGACUGGGGAAGCCUGGAAGAUGCUUCUCUGAGUGCUGAAAGCGCAGAGUGAAACUGUGACACACCACGAGGAAGAGAAGAAACUCCCGUCAUGCACUCCCCUGGGAAUGGUCCUUGUUCGAAGGGUCCCUGGCGCUCAAACACCAGUGGCAACUCUCUCCACAACUUCUCAGUCGUGCAGCCCCUGCUGGGAUGGAGGCAGGAGAGAAGAAACACUCAGGCUCCCAGUGUCGAGUCCUGCCCUUCAGUUACUCCAGUCCCUCAAGCUUUGAAGCAAAAACUGUGGCGAUGCAGGCAGUUCCCAGCCGACUUGCCCCUAGACGAAGCUGAAGAGUCGCCGGUUGCUUCUUCUCCACUGCUUGGUGGGCAGCUUCUCAUCCAGAGGGGCUGCAAGACCCAGGCAGAUGCCAGAAGCCAUCACCGCCCUCCUCCUCCACUCCCCACUCAGCCCCUGGUCCUGCUCCACUAGUGCGGGUGCCCCUUCCUUCGAGCACAGGGUCAAGAUGUGGAGGAGAGCCUGCGUGUCUUCAUGUCAGUGAAGGCAGGGCCUCAGGUCCAUGCCGGCCUUUUGGGUUCCCUGUGGAAACAGUCUUUGUCCCACUGGGCACUUUGCUCUUAUCUUAAGAUAAUGAAAAAGCAUGACAAGCAAGACCCUUCUGAAAGCUCACCAUGGCUCUCCUGGAAGGGUAAGCUGACUUGUUCUUCACCUUCCCCAGGAGACCCUCUCAAGAAACUGGACUGAGCUUGGUGUGGCUCAACCUAGUUUGGGUUGUUGAUGCCUAGAGCAGAGGCUGAGAGUGAACCCCAGUAUCCAUUCUCUUCUUCUGCCAUAGUAAUAGAAUCUUUAGUUGGGCAAAUGGCCACCCAGAAUAAAGACUAUAUUACCCAGCCUUUCUGCAGGUAGGGAUGGUCGUGUGAACUAAGCUCUGAUUAAUGAGAUAUGAGAAGUGUCAUGCCCUUCAAGCAAAGGGGCAUGCCUUUCUCCUCUUCUUUCCCCUUCUCAUUGGCUUGACCAUGGAUUUAGUGGUGGGGGUGAGCUCUUGGGGACCAAGUGGUUGAUAGCAACACCCCAAGGAUGGUGGAGCAACAACUUGGAAGGAAUCUGGGUCCCUGAUGACACCAGAACCUAUGUCCUAGGCAUGUAAUAUUCUACAAGACUUCUAUUUGACUUUGAUUUGAUUGCCUUAUUGGGAUUUUCCUGCUAUAAUUGCAUCUCAAACCCCCUUCCCCCACAAGAGCUUUAGGUAGGAGAUAGGUUUUCCCCGAAGAUUGUGAGCAUUUCCGUUACUAGCAAUCUUGAGACGAGCUCAACCAUAGGAAGGAUUUGAGGACUAGGACAAGCCUUAGACCAAAAUGGGAGAAUAAGAUCUUCCUCUCUUGGGGCCUCCUGGAUAGGGCCAGGACCCUAUAUAGAGGGCAUGUCCUCUGUGAGGAGGUGAGCUAGUCUAAGAGAAGAAGUUGUAGGCUGGGACUCCCUGAAGAUGGGCUAGUUCUAAGCUGGAAACAGACAAGCGAAGGGGAGCCGGCCCCUGACUGGCACUGAGGCUGACAAGGAAGCUAAAGCCAUGAGACCUUGAUAACCCAUGAGACAACCUCUCUCUCUUUCUCUCUCUGUCUCUCACACACACACACACACAGCAGAAACGUCAGCAUUCUGGGUUGCUCUCAGGCCCUUUGAGGGAGCUUAAUUUCUGGCAAUAGGUGGGGUUCAAGCCCUCACACUCUGACUAUUUUAAAGGAAAUAUUAACUGGCAUUUGGGCUGGAGGCAGAGGGAGGUCCAAGGCUAACGACACCUGAGAAGGAGGUAAUGUUUGUCUUCGACUCCUUGUCAUUAAUCACUUCCCUUCGUCGGCUCUGGGUGCCCUUCUUUCAGGGUACCAUCUUCCCAAGAGACUCCUCUCACAGAGGGGGUUGUUUCGCCUCCUCACUGGCUCCACCCCUCCAGGCCUUCCACUGUGACUGCCACCAGGUCCUUUGUUCCCCUUGACCCUUUCCUGCCCCAGAUCUGGCCAACUGUCCGCCGUCCGCAUGCUCUCUGCCUCCUCUGACACACUCCUGGGGCUGGUAAGGGAGACACAGAAAUGGAAACUGAAGCCACUUGCCCAAGGCCACAAGGCUAGUAAGUGGUGCAGCUGGGACUUUACCCCAUGCAGUCUAACUCCAGGCUCUGGGCUCUGACCUAAAUGGUCCAGACUUUAGAGAUCAUCUUUCCCUUAACAAACAAAGAAAAUGACUCAAGUCCGUCUCCCACAUCCUGUGGGAAGUCCAGCAGCUUCCCCAACAUUUCCAAGAAUUUCUGGGUGGUAGUGGUUGACUUAUAUUCUCUUGGUUAUUCCCACUUAAAUUCUUGAUCCCUUUAAGUUCUCUUUUUCCUCCAGCAUCUGCUGUCCUCUGUCCCCUUCCCUCACCCAGUGCAAGAGCACCGUCUCUCCCCCAUAUUCCCCAAAGCACACCUAAGCCAAAACUGUUCUUAAGGACUAGAAAUAUUUGGUGAUAGCAGAGGGUCACCACACCAUGGCAGAGCUCAGCAAAGACCUGCAAAUUCAAAAUGGGGCAUGACCAUUCUGCAGGUUCACUCCUACAUUUACAGGGAUGGGGCAGGAGGACUAACAGAGGCCCAGUUCUCACUCUCUCUCCCACGCUUUGCCUGACACCAGCUCCAUCCUGCCCAUGAGGGACCUGCUGUGUGAACACCCCAGCCCACGUUUGAACUCUGUAGCACCCCCUUUGGGAAGAGGCCUGCAUAAGAUCAGGGAAUUCUGUGGUCCCAAAGGAGGGGAGAGGCUCAGUGUGGACACACCCAUUGGCCCCAUGCAGUGCUGGGCUGGCUAGCAAAGGCUCCUGAGGGAGGAAUCAGCUCUUCCUAACUCCACUUUCACUGGCAUCACACUGGUAGCUUGAAAUCAGCUAUGAUGUGGUGAGAAUAUUUACACAAUGGGACCUGGCAAACAUUGCAAUCUACAAAUCAGGGUUUUUUUCCUAGAGAGCCUGUUUAUCAGUACAUCACUGGCCCACAGACACCUCGCCCUGCGCAUAGGAGCAUAGCUGGAAAAAGGCCAGAUGGGAGCCCUCCAAGGCGGCGGUUCUCAGAUUUUGCUGCAUAUUCGAAUCACCUGAGAGCUCUUGUGGGGGGCUGUCAGUAUUUUAAGUUUCCUAGGUAAUUCCAAUGUACAGCCAAAGUUGCAGGCCAAUGCUCUAAAACAUCUCUUAUCAAAAUUUAGUGUCCAUAUAAAUUGUUUGGGGAUCUCUUCAAUGACAGAUCUGGUUUAGUAAGCCCAGACGAGCCUGGGAGUCUGCACUUCUGUCUCAGGUGAUACUGAUGCUGCUGUUCUGUGGCCCACAGUUUGAGCAGCCAGGGUCUAAAGCACAGGACCCAAGGGUGGCACUGCUAUUCUGAGGAUCCUCAGCUUUGCCUGUCAAGGAGAAUUUCUCACUGGAGGUACUUUCUCCUUAAGCCCUGACCCCAGCCAUUUUUUGGAGCCUGUGCAGAUGGACAGCUUUCACCCUAUUCUGGGUAACGGGACACCAGUCUCUCUUGGUGCUUGGGGAAAACCCCCAAAUUCCUGCCGUCUCAUUAUGCAGAUCACUUGAGUUCUCCUUCCAGACUGUGCUGGGAGGCUCACCGUUCGUAACCAAACAGGUGUUUUCCUAAACAAUCAAGCCAUUUUCCUUUGGCUUCCCCUGCACACCCAUCGCACACCUCCAGAAUUCAGACACACGCCUGCAGUGAUUUAUUUUUUGUAUCAAUUGCUUUCCUCUUUACAUGGCAAAGACUAAGGCUUAGUGAUAAGGGCCCUGAUGCGGGUAUAAACACCCGUGCAGAGCAGGCUAUGAGGCCUGGGAACAAGGCAGGAGGUGCAGAAGAGAGGCCGCACCGAGGAGCCCAGAGGGGAAUCCCUUAGUCACACAGGCUGCGUCCCCAGACCCUUAGCGAAGAGAAACACAGGACUUGUCUUGGAACCAGAAUGCUGGUGAGUCUUUCAGUUUUUUGUGUAAAAGUGUAACUAGAGACUGAUAAAACUACUCCUAAUUCUUCCCGCAGUGCAGGUUCGGUCACUUCAGCAAAGCUGUUGUUGCUUAAAGCCUUGAUUAAAGAAACUCCCCUGUGUUUCUCUAGAUGGCUCUCUGGACAAGGUGACCCUAUCUGAGCAGCAGAAUCAAGGUUCUGACACCCACAGUGGCCUUCCUGAGGCCGACAGCACUUUACAAGGUCCUGUGGCAGUGUGGGGUGGGUCUGUCUGAGCAAGUUCACGUGCCAAGGCCAGUCCUUGCUCCUCAUCGCUCAGGGCUGACCUGCCCCAGAACGACUUGCUUGGGGAUGUUCCUUGUAGUGAUGGGAAGUUAGGUCUAAUCUAAGCUGCCCUGGUGUCCCCCACUCCCCGAGACCCACUCAGUUCUGUUUCACAGGCUGUGCAUUUUUCUCGUCUCUGAGAGGGUGAGUCUUGGUUUCCGGCCUGUUGGAACGUUUCCUAAGCAGGGCUUUCCUGCCUGCAUGUGACUCUGGGCUUCGCUCUCAUUCUUCCUAUUUGCUCAGAGGGCCAAUAUCACAACUCCAUUGCACUUAACAGAUUUUAGCUGAAGGUUUAGGGACAGUGGAGGGGAAUUAUAGCCCAGGGCAGACCAAGUAAGAUUAUUAGAGCAAUUUAGAAGCAACUAUGAGGCAUUCUAGCUUCACUGGCCAUCUUUGUCUUGGCGAAUAUCUCAUUGGCCAUCUUUUACCUUAGGAUCCCCUGACCUGGGUGGUAUAGAGCUUGGUCCCCUCUCUCCAGAGACCCCUUCUCUCCCUCCUUUCAGGGCCCUAGACCCCCGUCUCAGUACCACCAGGGAAGACAAUAUUCUUGCAACUUUAUCAGGCAGUACCAUCAAGUUCCUUUGCUUGGUGGUAACUUUCUCCUUCCUGACCAGUGAAAGGAAUCUCACCUUUCACAGCCAACCAUGAUCCAUCAAGGUCAUUCCAAAAACAGGCAUCUACCACUGAGAUCAAUACUAGUCCCUAAACGCCAAAAGUGAUCAUCAUUUUAUCUUUUUGUAAUGAUUUUUUUUCUUUCUGUUACAUCAGAAAUUUUAGAAAUAUUAAAAACAAGUUAGGAAACAGUUUGGCAAUUCCUCAAAUAGAAACGUAUCCCCCAAAGUACUGGAAGCAGGGACUUGAACAGAUAUUUGGACACACAUGUUCAUUGCAGCACUAGUCACAGUAGUCAAAGGGUGAAAAUAAUCCAAAUAUCCAUCAACGGAAGAAUGGGUAAACAAAAUGUGUUAUAUCCAUACAAUGGAAUAUUCAGCCUUAAAAAGGAAUGAAGUAUUGAUUCAGGUUACAACAUGCAUGAACCUUGAAAACAUCAUGCUAAGAGAAAUAAGCUAGACGUAAAAGGACAAAUAUUGUAUGAUGCCACCUAUACGAGGUUCCUAGAAUGUCAAAUGCAUAGAAAGAAAUCAGAAGAGAGGUUACUAGAGGCUGGGAGAGGAGAGAACAGGGAGCUAUCAUUUAGUGGGUCAAAGUUUCUGUUUGGGAUGAUGGAAAAAUUCUAGAAAUUGAUAAUGGUAAUGGUUGCACAACGUUCCGAAUGUACUUAAGGCCACUGACUUAUACGCUUGGAAAUGGUUAAAAUGGUAAAUUUUGUGUUACGUAUAUUUUACCUCAAUAAAAAAAUAUUAGGAGUCUUGGCUCUUUCAUCUUCUACACCCUCAGGCAAGACCCUCCUCCAUACAAGUCCCUGGGGGGCCCUAGAGGCGAGAGGCGGGGCUGAGGGCAGGGUUAGCUGGUCCUUGCAGCACAGCUGUGUCUAUAAAGCAAGAGGGCUGUUUUUCAGAUUCUGCUUCUCUUUGGGACUCAGCAUCAAUGCUUGGCUCACCGGACCCAUUAAAAUGCUGAAGAAGGAAUAUGAAAAAGGUAUACCACACAACAUGAAGAGACCUGGGGAUCAGGAUCAGGGGACUGUGGGAGAAGGAGGCCUGAAGGUGAUAACGUCCUGUCUGAAGGAGCUAAUGCACACCCGGGGAGCAGCCCAGCUCCGUUCAAUGAAAUAAAACGUCCAGAGCUGUUCUCUUCAUGUUUUAUAUGGCAACAGACUUUUAUGUGUGAUUAAGAAACAAAAUAACAAAGGGAGGAAUGUACUGAGCUUAUCAAAGUACAAUAGUUGCUGCUUCACCAGAAAAACCAGUGCUUUCCUUCUAUUCUGGUGCUGUUAAGCUGACCCUGGGGAAUGAAAGACGCUUUGCUCUGAAAUAAAGAUUAACACUUAACAGCUAUAGUCAGCCCAUGGCAAAACUGUGAAAUAGGCAAAAUUUGUCAUUAGGACUUUUCCAUCAUCCCUUGCUGAGUAUUUCUUCGUACUGUCCCGUCUCUCAGCUCCAAGGCACUUACUGCUCUCUAGGUGCCAGGGAAACAAAACAAAGUAUUUCACACCAAAACGUCAUUGACUUCUGAUGAAUUUUACCCCAAGGGCAUUUGCAUUCCAUAUCACUCUGGAUCCAGUCAAGAGAGAGAAACUACGUGGUAAUAUAGAUAGGGAAAAUAUAAUAUAAAGAACUAUUAACUGGUAACAGGGGAUUAAAGUAACACAGAGUUAGUAAGAAGUCAAGAGAGCUCUGAAGAAUAUAGGAAUGGCAGAUGAGGAGCCACAGCUACGCUUAGGGCUGAGAAAGUAAUGGAGGAAGAGGCCUCCUGGGUUCAGAUCCAGACCUUGUUGAAGAGGGCACAGCUGUGGCUCACUGGAUGGCAGAGAAGGUGCUGUACUGGUGGAACUUGCUGGAAAGCUGACCUCUAGGGUGUCAGGGAAAGUUGAUCACAGGGACAUGUCUCACCAGAAAUACUCUGCUGCAAAACCACCUGAGGUAGGGAAGUGCCAGGGAAUCUGCUGGUCACUGUGCACUAGAGGAGCUGGGCACUGGAGAAGCUGCCAGUGCUGCAGAGCCUGGCAAGCCACAGGAGGCUGCCGAGCAAGCAUAAGGGAACCAGGACAAAAAAACCCUUCUCCUGCAGUGUCUCUCCAGCAUCCUCUGUUGACAAAGCGUAACAUCGUGCCAGCUGCAAAGGCAAAAUAUUUAAAGGGUACAGGUCCAUUUUUGAAGAACAGGCAAUGAAGGAAGAGUUUGGAGGCGAUAAGUUGAUAACUGGGACACAUUUUAACAGAGAAAGAGAAGAUCAAGACAGUGUUGAACCCAAUGGGCUGUUUCUCUAAUGGUAAAGUUCCAGAAUAGUCAGGCUAGAGAAGGUAUUUUGGAGCAGGAGAGCUUUCUAACAGUCUAGAAAUCAAACUAUGUAGGUGACAUAAAUGUAUAUCAGGAUGGAAUGGGAUUAUUAAGUGUUCCUUCUAGGUAGGACACGGGUACUAUUAGGCCCUAAACUCCUAGUUCAGGUUCACCACCAUUCCCAGAUGUGGCUGUGACAGCUAGAUUCUCACCAAUUCAAUUUCUUUCAAGCACAUGAGGAGACAUUCCCCAGACUCCUUGCUUCUAGAUGAAAUGUGCAACAUGUUCCGGUUGAUGAAAUGUGAGAAGAAGUAAUAAAUGCCACUUCCAGAUCCAGCCUCUAAAAUGUCCCAUUAGACUGUCAGUUCACUGUCCCUCACUGAUGGCCAGAUGAAGGCAGGGGAUCCAGUAGAGGGCUUCAUAGAAGCUCUAAGGGAUGGUGGUGCCACCAGACGAAAAGAGCCUGAGCCACAGCUCAGAGGAGAGAUGCUCAACCCACAUGAGACUAGAGUGUGACUAAAUUGUAUUAAGCCUCUGCAACUUCUGAGACUUUUGUUACUGCAACUGGUGUUAAUUUCCCUGACUGAUACACAGAGCAAAUUAGACCCCUGGGAUAGCCUCAAUCUUAAACUGAAAUAGCAGCGAGAGAGUACCCAUCACUCAUUUUGUUUGAGGUUGUCAAAACAAGGAAGCUAGAUCAUAUAUUCUCUUUGGAUCUAUGUGUCAUAAGUGUGGGAUAUCAGAGUCCCAAAAUAAUUUUCCAUGGCCCACGGUGGAGGGCAAAGCCUGGCAGCUAGGUUUGCCUACUGAACAGAACAAAGACUUAGGGUGAACAUCAAGGUGUUCUUUUCUACCUUCUGGGAGUUAGGUGUUGGUACAAAUAGGCUUGACAUGGAGGUCCACACUUGGUCUCAGUGCACAAGGCCACUUGUCCUGGUGCAAGAAGCGAGUCCUUUCCCACCACAGCUCGGCCUUGGCCCCAUCAGGUAGCUCCACUCCUGGUCCACACUGCGUGUCCCCGGAAGAGCCCUAAGGUCUGGGCUCCACUCCUCUCUCCAUUAUUCACUCAAGAGCGGAGGCAAAUUUGGUCCCUUCUACAAAUAUUUAAAAAAUGCAUUGUC